UACGAACUGUGCGAACGUUAUUCGGAAUUACUGGGCGUAAAGCGCACGUAGUCGGCUUUGCAAGUCGGGUGUGAAAUCCCCCGGGCUCAACCUGGGAACUGCAUCCGAGACUGCAUUGCUAGAGUAUGGGAGAGGGAAGCGGAAUUUCUGGUGUAGCAGUGAAAUGCGUAGAUAUCAGGAAGAACACCAAUGGCGAAGGCAGCUCUCUGGGACGGUACUGACA
rnacentral:rRNA from 1 species